GGUUGCGGCCAUAUCUAGCAGAAAGCACCGUUUCCCGUCCGAUCAACUGUAGUUAAGCUGCUAAGAGCGAGACCGAGUAGUGUAGUGGGAGACCAUACGCGAAACUCUCGUGCUGCAAUCUUUUUGC
rnacentral:rRNA from 1 species